rnacentral:lncRNA from 1 species
CGACAGCAGGGACCCUCUACCCAAGAGUGACAGCCGCCUUGACCACCAGAGAUGAGGCUCAACACCAACCUUUAAAGUUUAAUGGUUCUAUUAAAAUGCUUUCAUAAGCAUUAAUACAUACUCAUACAUUUUGCAGUGAUAUUUUAAAGAAAAGAUUUCACAAAUUCAGUUUAUAAAUCCAACUUUCAACAAGUCUGAGAAAGAAAGAACUCUCCAGCAUGGAAACCUGGCCAUCAUUUGCUGUGAACACUCGUGUGCCUGAAAGCACUCGAUAUAGAACGGCCCUGAGUGAGCAUACUCGGGCAUACAUCUGUGCUGCAUCAUAUCUACUGGACAGACACACCAGGCAGAGGCUACAACAAAAGAAUUCGCCCAGGAACAUAGCCUUACUGCGUCCCGGGCUCUACACAGGCUCGAGCUGGUCUUGACAUUCAGAACUCGGCUGUGGGGCGGCUCUUCCAAGAAGGUUCUCCCGAAGACCGAAGACGGGGAGAGGUGUUUCUGCCGGAGGUGGGAUCGGUCUCCACGGCCUCGAUGACAGCUCCAGUUCCUCUCCGAUGAUCCGCGCUAUUUGCUGUUGUUUCUCCACACUGGAGGGCGCUGGGCAGGGAGGAGCUGUCUUGCUCGUCAUUGUAUCCGCAGAGCUCAGCCCUGUCCCAUCCGAGACACAGUGGGCCUCAGAGUAACGUUGAUGAAUAAAAGAAGACAGUUCAUGGAAAUAGAAAGAUGGGAGGAGAGACAUACCUAUGAGUGAGGGAGAUGGGAGAGUUGGGUUGAGGUGAGAAGCUGUUUAUUUCCUGGGAACUUGGGAGCCUGAGGUGCCCUGCAGUCCCGCCCGGAGGUGACAACACCACUCAUGACCUCUGGCCUGCAGGUGGGCUGUGUCGUGCAGGUGUGUCUCCACCACUGCUGAGGAUGGGGCAGCUGUGUCGCAGGUCUGAGGUGGGACUUGGGCUGCAGCAACAGCAGCAGACAGAGGGGUCCACCUCAGAGUUCCCGGAGGCACAGGGCGGCCGCACGUCCGUCGGCAUCAGCCCCUGUGCCGAGACCCUGUAGAGUGGCAGCCCGCUGUGGCCCUGAUGAGAACACGACCUCCACCCUGUCCAGGGCUUCGGGUCAAAUGGAGUCAGCGCUCGGAGGAGCAGAAGGUGUCAGCCGAGAGGCUGGGGUCACUGUAUGUGGUCCCUUGGGUUCAGACAGUGGUAGAGGCCUCGAGAAGACACUGCCCUCGCCAAGAACUCAGCCUUCUAACUCACCAGUUCCCUUAUUUUCCUGCUCACUACACAGAAGAUAGAAGCAUACCUCUCGCAAAGUUAUUUUUGCUGCUCCACUCAUUUCAGAAAAUUGAGGAUGGCUUUACAGACCUUGAAAACUCCCUCUGAAAUAAUGCUUUCCAACCUAGAAACCUCCCAGACUGGGGUCUGCGUGGUCCAAACAAUCCCAGGCUCCUACAGGCUCCUGGCACCGUGCAUUUCCUUCCUGUUGUGCCCCAAGGAGAUGCCAGAGCUUCAAAAAUAGAUUAAGCAAACCUUUGCAUAGAUGAGUAGAGGUGACAUUUGUCAACAGGAGAAAGGACGCAGCCAUAGCUUCCUAGAAGGUCCAACCAAUGUAAUUACCAAGGCUUCCUGACAUGCAGGUCCCAAACGGCCAUCUUCCUUUUUUACAUGGGGUCUUUGGACAAAUAGAAUAAUUUUCCAUGUUUUCUACUAAUCAUCUCUGGGACUUCAG